rnacentral:rRNA from 1 species
AGUGAACGCUGGCGGUAGGCCUAACACAUGCAAGUCGAACGGCAGCACAGUAAGAGCUUGCUCUUACGGGUGGCGAGUGGCGGACGGGUGAGGAAUACAUCGGAAUCUACUUUUUCGUGGGGGAUAACGUAGGGAAACUUACGCUAAUACCGCAUACGACCUACGGGUGAAAGCAGGGGAUCUUCGGACCUUGCGCGAUUGAAUGAGCCGAUGUCGGAUUAGCUAGUUGGCGGGGUAAAGGCCCACCAAGGCGACGAUCCGUAGCUGGUCUGAGAGGAUGAUCAGCCACACUAGAACUAGGACACGGUCCAGACUCCUACGGGAGGCAGCAGUGGGGAAUAUUGGACAAUGGGCGCAAGCCUGAUCCAGCCAUACCGCGUGGGUGAAGAAGGCCUUCGGGUUGUAAAGCCCUUUUGUUGGGAAAGAAAAGCAGCAGGUUAAUACCCCGCUGUUCUGACGGUACCCACAGAAUAAGCACCGGCUAACUUCGUG